rnacentral:tRNA from 1 species
UCCCUUCUGGCUCAGCUGGUAAAGAAUCCGCCUGCAAUGCGGGAGACCUGGGUUCGAUCCCUAGGUUGGGAA